rnacentral:rRNA from 1 species
GAUGAACGCUGGCGGCGUGCCUAAUACAUGCAAGUCGAGCGAACAGACGAGGAGCUUGCUCCUCUGACGUUAGCGGCGGACGGGUGAGUAACACGUGGAUAACCUACCUAUCAGACUGGGAUCACUUCGGGAAACCGGAGCUAAUACCGGAUAAUCUAUUGAACCGCAUGGUUCAAUAGUGAAAGACGGUUUUGCUGUCACUUAUAGAUGGAUCCGCGCCGCAUUAGCUAGUUGGUAAGGUAACGGCUUACCAAGGCAACGAUGCGUAGCCGACCUGAGAGGGGGAUCGGCCACACUGGAACUGAGACACGGUCCAGACGCCUACGGGAGGCAGCAGUAGGGAAUCGUCCGCAAUGGGCGAAAGCCUGACGGAGCAACGCCGCGUGAGUGAUGAAGGUCUUCGGAUCGUAAAACUCUGUUAUGAGGGAAGAACAAAUGUGUAAGUAACUAUGCACGGAUUGACGGUACCUAAUCAGAAAGCCACGGCUAACUACGUG